GAUGAACGCUGGCGGCGUGCUUAACACAUGCAAGUCGAACGAAGUGGCGCACGGGUGAGUAACGCGUAAUCAACCUGCCCUUCAGAGGGUGACAACAGUUGGCAACGACUGCUAAUACCUCAUACUGAAGGAGGGGAUUGCGUCUGAUUAGCUAGUUGGCGGGGUAACGGCCCACCUAGGCGAUGAUCAGUAGCCGGUCUGAGAGGAUGAACGGCCACAUUGGGACUGGGACACGGCCCAAAAUUCUAAGGGGGGCAGCAGGUGGGAAUCUUCCGCAAUGGACGAAAGGCUGACGGAGCAAAGCCGCGGGAGUGAUAGAGGCCUUCGGGUUGUAAAGCUCUGUUAAUCGGGACGCGGUACCGGAAGAGAAAGCCACGGCUAACUACGUGCCAGCAGCCGCGGUAAUAC
rnacentral:rRNA from 1 species